AAUAGAUACCCGGGUAGUCCAUGCCGUAAAACGAUGAGUGCUAAGUGUUAGGGGGUUUCCGCCCCUUAGUGCUGCAGCUAACGCAUUAAGCACUCCGCCUGGGGAGUACGACCGCGAGGUUGAAACUCAAAGGAAUUGACGGGGGCCCGCACAAGCGGUGGAGCAUGUGGUUUAAUUCGAAGCAACGCGAAGAACCUUACCAGGUCUUGACAUCCCAGUGACCACUCUAGAGAUAGAGUUUUCCCUUCGGGGACAUUGGUGACAGGUGGUGCAUGGUUGUCGUCAGCUCGUGUCGUGAGAUGUUGGGUUAAGUCCCGCAACGAGCGCAACCCUUAAUCUUAGUUGCCAUCAUUUAGUUGGGCACUCUAAGGUGACUGCCGGUGACAAACCGGAGGAAGGUGGGGAUGACGUCAAAUCAUCAUGCCCCUUAUGACCUGGGCUACACACGUGCUACAAUGGACGGUACAAAGAGUCGCUAACUCGCGAGAGCACGCUAAUCUCAUAAAACCGUUCUCAGUUCGGAUUGUAGGCUGCAACUCCG
rnacentral:rRNA from 1 species